UACAGAGGUCUCAAGCGUUGUUCGGAUUCAUUGGGCGUAAAGGGUGCGUAGGUGGCGCGGUAAGUCGGGUGUGAAAUUUCGGAGCUUAACUCCGAAACUGCAUUCGAUACUGCCGUGCUUGAGGACUGGAGAGGAGACUGGAAUUUACGGUGUAGCAGUGAAAUGCGUAGAGAUCGUAAGGAAGACCAGUGGCGAAGGCGGGUCGUCUGG
rnacentral:rRNA from 1 species